rnacentral:rRNA from 1 species
GACAGAGGUGCCAAGCGUUAGGCGGAAUCACUGGGCUUAAAGCGUGUGUAGGCGGAUUUGUAAGUACCUUGCGAAAUCCCACAGCUCAACUGUGGAACUGCUCGGUAUACUGCGAAUCUUGAGCCACUUAGGGGCUACCGGAACAAAUGGUGGAGCGGUGAAAUGCGUAGAUAUCAUUUGGAACGCCAAUGGUGAAAACAGGUAGCUGGGAGUGUGCUGACGCUGAGACACGAAAGCCAGGGGAGCGAACGGG